rnacentral:lncRNA from 1 species
UUCUUUCUUUUUCCUUUUCCUUUCCUUUUUCCUUUUUCUUUUCAGUUUUCUCGGUCCAGGCCCAGAGGGGCUCUUCGUUUUUUACCCUAAUUAUGUCCUUUAAAUGCUGCAUUAAUUACUGUGCAUGUCAGAGGGAGAGAGAGAGGGCAGAGGUGAAUACGAACAGUCAGAAUACCAACAGCCUAGCCACCACGAGCCACCACUCAACAGCCCCUUUCCUCCUCCGCGAACCACCACCAUCGGCCUAGCCACCACUCAACCGCCACUCUCCUCCUCCGCGAACCACCACCAUCGGCCUAGAGCCACCACUCAGAGCCACCACGAGCCACCACUCAGAGCCACCACUCAGCGCCACCCUCCCCCUCCGUGAACCACCAACACAAGAAAAAACCAAAAUCAUCUUGCUCAUACUAUUCAUUUCCUUCCCUAGAAAUCGAAACGUUAGAACAGAAACCCACGCGAACACAGUAACCCACUCACUCACGCGGCCUAAAGCCUACACCAACCACCACCAUCAGCCGACACCCACACCCACACAACCCAAACUGUAACCGUUUCCACUCUGAAGCUUAAACGAUAACAUAAGAACAAAGGUAGUUCACUUUUUUUUUUUCUAAGAUUCAAGGCUAGAUCUAGGCUUUAUCAGUAUUGGUUUUCAAAAAAUAACGGUGGAUUUGAGAACUAGGGAAAAAAAGGAAUUCAAAACAUGUAGUUUUUUUAAAAAAGGAGGAGUUUCUUUUUCCGACGCGGCGGCGCCGCCACCCAUGGCCGGCCAGCCACUGCGCCGGUAAACAGCUUCCGGCGGUGUGUGGUUAGAGAGAGAAGAGAGCUUCUGAAGCGUUUCUUUAGAGAGAGGAAGAAAUUGGAUUUAUGUUAUUUUAGGGUUUAUUUUCGAAUUUAUACUGCUGCCAUGACCAAUACUAUGGUGCACGCGGAUCUCUGUGUCCCCAUGGACCAUCAGGGUUGAACCGUUAGAUCCUAGAUCUAACGGCCAAUGUUAUCCCCUGUUUUGAUCAGAUGCGUCUCACCUCUUGGUUUUUACUUUGUUCUUCUUCUCUUGUGACGUUUGAUUAAGAUCUAAUGGCUAAAACUGUGCCUCCCCAUGAUCAAAUCUGGACGCUUCGAUCAAUCUGACGAUUCAGAUUUGAUCUGUUAAGCCCACUUUUUAUUUUGAGCCCAUUUCCUUUUUUCUGUUCCUUCUAGUAUUUUACUUUCUGCACCCCCUUUUCUUCUCUUUUUUUUUUUUUUUUUAUUACUUUUUUUAUGCAUCAUAUUUACUUUAUGCCCUUGCAUUUUUUAUUUUCUUUAUUUAUUUUCCAGCACCAUAUCUAUUUUACGUCUUGCAUUUUAUUUUCCAGUAUCAUUUAUUUUUUGUCUUGCAUUUUUAUUUUGUUUAUUUUUAUUUUAUGCAUCAUAUUUACUUUAUGUCUUGCAUUUUUUAUUUAUUUUUAGCAUCAUGUUUAUUUUAUGUCUUGCAUUUUUAUUUUCUUUUUUUAUUUUAUUUCCAGCAUUAUAUUUAUCUUUAUGUCUUGCAUUUUUUUUUAUUUAUUUUUAGCAUCAUGUUUAUUUUAUGUCUUGCAUUUUUAUUUUCUUUUAUUUUAUUUCCAGCAUUAUAUUUAUCUUUAUGUCUUGCAUUUUUUAUUUAUUUUUAGCAUCAUGUUUAUUUUAUGUCUUGCAUUUUUAUUUUCUUUUAUUUAUUUCCAGCAUCAUAUUUAUUUUUAUGUCUUGCGUUUUAUUUUCUUUAUUUAUUUUAUGCACCAUAUGUAUUUAUUGUUUUGUAUUUCAUGCAUUUUAUUAUUUCUUCUAGCAUAUUUAUUUUAAUGCAUUUGAAAUUUUUAUUUAUUAUUGUCAAUUAGAAUGUAUCUAGGUCCAAUGUAAAUAAAAAUAAAAAUGAGAAUCUGCACCGACACUCACAUUUAUUUUUAUGUUUUCCGCCGAGGACGAUCAUGUGAUUUGAACCGUAUCCGAGGAAAAGGGCCCUCACUUGAUCCAACGUCAUUUUAAGGGAUCCGGCGCGUUUAGACUUAUCUCCGUAUAACUAAAAAAAAAAAAAAAAGAGAGUCAAACAAAAAAACCAAAAAAAAACUUUCCAUAAUCGAAAUUUCAAAAAAAGGGUCAAUCUUUAUCCUUUCUUUCUUAAUCAAAUCUUUAAUCAACCUUUAAUCAAUCUAACUUUUUUUUCAAUUUAAAAUCAAUCGAACUCACUUCUUUUAUUUCUUCUAUGCCUUUUCGGCCUCUUAUCUUGCCUAAACUCUUCUUUUUUUCGAACUUUAAAAUCAAUCAAAACCAAUCACUUGACUUUCUACCCCGAACUACAUGAUUUUGAUCCCAUUCGGGUAUGUAGGCAAAAGACUUUGUCUUUCCAAAUCAAUAAAAAUAACAAAAACAUUUCUUUUCCUUUCCCUCGAACCUAUCUCUUUAAUCUUUUCACACUUGAGCAUUUAUUUCAAAACAAAUAAUUAAUUUAGCAUAAAGAUAAAAUAAGCAAGAGGUUCCUAUAGAGUACUAUAGACGUUUAGGGUGCUAGUACCUUCCCUUUGCGUAACCAACCCCCGGACCUUUGAUCUCUCAAAAAUAGGGUUUUUUCGAGCUUUCUCCCUUUUCUUCGGAAAAAUAAAAGAUCGGUGGUGAUCUUAAAUUGCGAGUCAAUGCUAAUCAAUAGCUUGAUAUCCAAAAAUCACCGCGACAGAAAAAUGGCGACUCCACUGGGGAUCACACUCCUAAGUGGGUUAAACCUAUCUUGUUUUUCUUCAUCUUUAUGCUUUAUUAUUAUUUGAAACUGUAAAUACGUGCCUAAGUGUUUAUCUUUUACGUGAGUGGUGAGAUAAGUCCUACACCCGGACUUGAGGGAAACAUAAGAUAGGAUGGUGGUAUAAUCAUAGUGUCUUUCCGAGAGUGAGUUUCGGAUGUGGCACAUGUGAUAACCCCGCUCAAUGGAGGGAUCUUGGGAAUAUUACUAUGUUGGCAUGAGUAGUCGUGUUCAGCAUUAAUAUUUCCAAGCGACCUAUGAAGUUGAGGACCUUUAGUUACCUUUAACCCAUCUUAGCCUUUUAGGACGUAGUGCGGUGGCUAAUCAAGAGUAGUCUUGAAUUGGUUGAUACGCGAUACUACACUCAAACGAGGCUUUCCUAUGGACGUUGUUGGACCGGGAGUAGUCCCGUAAUCCGACAAUAUCCGGAAGUGGUCAAUGACUUUGGGAACUUGGUAGAACCCGUGAUACAGGUACAUAUGAAACCAUAGUCCUUACCAAAUGGCGUGUUUACCCUUAACUCCAACAUUUUGGACUUAACUUCACCAUGUUUUCUCCAUACUGUGGCAUAAUCAUGCAUACAUGCAUCCAUGCAUAAACUCUUUUUUUUCAUCCAAAUUAUCGAAGGACUUAGACAAGCUUUUUGUAAACUUUGUAGAUAUGGACAUCCCACUGAGAAGCACUAGGAAGUACCUUUUCAAAAAAACAGACCUGUUGAGAUUAAGGGAGCUAGCAUCUUUAGUAAGUGAUCCAGUUGAUUUUCAAGCUCAUCAUGGGAAGUUGCUCAGAAUUCUUAGAGUAGAUGUUGAGGAAGGAUGCCUAGAGACCCUGGUUCAGUUCUAUGACCCGCUCUACCAUUGCUUCACAUUUCCCGAUUACCAGCUUGUCCCCACACUUGAAGAGUACUCCUACCUAGUUGGUUUACCCGUACCAGACAAGAUACCUUUCCAUGGUUUUGAGCCUACCCCUAAACCCUCCGACAUCGCAGCCGCCCUCCAUCUUAAAACCUCUAUCAUCCAAGCAAACCUUACCUCUAAAGGAGGCCUCCAAGGUCUUCCCACCCACUUCCUCUACCAACAAGCCUCCAUAUUUGCUGAAGCAGCUAGUAUACUUGCCUUCCAUUCUAUCCUAGCCCUCCUUAUAUAUGGCCUUUUACUCUUCCCAAAUAUUGACAACUUCAUCGAUAUCAAUGCCAUUAAGAUCUUUCUUACAAAGAACCCCGUACCCACUCUACUCGCCGAUACCUACCAUUCUAUCCAUGACCGUACCCAGGCUGGCCGUGGAACCAUUUCUUGUUGUGCACCUUUACUCUAUCAGUGGUUUACCUUCCACUUACCUCAAUCCCGUGCCUUCAAGACCAAUGAUGAUAAGCUUUCUUGGCCUCGCCGAAUCAUGACUCUUGACCCAUCUGACAUUGUUUGGUACCAAGCAGCUAGUGAUGUUGGAGAGAUUAUUGUGAGUUGUGGUGAAUAUCCCAACGUACCUCUUUUGGGUAUGCGUGGCGGAAUUAGCUACAACCCGCUUCUCGCUCGACGACAAUUUGGGUACCCGAUAAAGACAAAACCAAACAACUUUGCCUUGACUAAUGAAUUCUAUCUUAACCAUGGAGAUCAUUCGAACAAAAGGGAAAGAUUCGCACAAGCUUGGAGCGCUAUCCGCAGACUCAACAGAAGUCAGUUGGGAAAGAAAUCAGACUAUGUACAUGAAUCUUACACCCAGUGGGUUAUUGAUAGGACCAAGAGCUUUGGCCUACCCUACCGCUUACCUAGAUACCUAUCGUCCACCAUCCCACCAUCAUCCUUGCCUAUCCCCUUUGAUACUAAGGAAGAGUUUCAUGAACAAUUAACCAAAGAAAGGCAAGAAAAAGAAACUUGGAAGAGGAGAUGCCAGGAGCUCGAGCAAGAGAAUGAGACUUUGAAGGGGAAGAUAGCCCAACAGAGCCGUGAGCUUUUUAUCCAGAACCAGAGGAUGGUUGAGAAGGACGACUUGCUUCGUCGGAAAGACGCUUUGCUCCACCGAGAUGCUAGAAGGAAGAGGAGGUUUAUGGAUUUGUUCUCCCGUGCACAUUCAGAUUCCGAGGAUCCAUCUACUCCGGGAGUUUGAGUCUGAAGUUCUUAGGACCUUAUGUUUAGAUUUUAGCUCCCGAAAUCUCUUGACUUGUAAAAAAAAAAAAAAAAAAAAAAAAAAAAAAAAAAAAACCUAUAAUUUCUUUGUAAUAUUCCAAUGCUUAAGUGAAGUGUUUCAGUUUAUGAUGUUUACAAUUUCUCUAACAAGUUCUUCGAUAAUAAUUUGUUCCCUUUCUUUUUGCAUAAGCAUAAGCAUGCAUCAUGUUGCAUUCAUGGUUUCUAAAUCGAGUCUCACACUGUGUUCACUACUUCAAAAAGGGGGGAGUCAAUCAACCGCCGCCCAAGGAAAGUGGCCCGACGAAUUCUCCACAAACCAACUCGCAUUUACAACACCAGGGCCAAUCGGAAGAGGAUGGAUAUAGUUGAACAAGAAAAUCAGAGUCUCAGGGAGGAGGUUGCCACUUUACGAGAGGGAAUGGAUAGGUUGACGACCAUGAUGAGUGCACUCCUGUCAGCCCAGAACUCUCAAGCUGCCGCCGCUGCUGUAGAGCAGCCUUUGGUGAGCACAACCCCGCUAUCUACGGUGACUUCUCCACCCCUCUUUUUGCCUCCAGGUUGUACAUGGGGAAUGCCACCUCCAGUCUGUGGAAGCUCCCAGCCCGCUGUAUCUGAAGCUCCACCUCCUUUUGCUCAGCAAUCAGCACCGGUUCCGCAACCCAGUACCUCUUUCCCUCAAGCUGCAAUGACUUAUUCAGCUCCACUGAUUCACACUAUUCAACAAGAGGUUGAACCAAUUUUCCAAGCUGAAAAUGUUGUAGCCUUCGACAAGAUGGAAGAACUCCAAGAAAGAUUUGAUGGUAUGCAAAGGGAAGUCGAAGCCCUCCGAGGAAGAGAUCUGUUCGGGAAGGACGCCUGUGAAUUAUGCUUGGUCCCAAAUGUUACUAUCCCUCACAAGUUCAAGGUGCCAGACUUCGAGAAGUAUAAAGGGAACUCUUGUCCCCGCAGUCACUUGGUGAUGUACGCGCGGAAAAUGUCCAUGUAUACUGACAAUCAUAAGCUGCUUAUUCAUUUCUUUCAGGACAGCCUGACUGGGGCCGCUCUGAAGUGGUAUAUGAAUUUGGACAGUGCGAGCAUUCGUACUUUCAAUGACCUGGGUGAAGCGUUCAUCCGGCAGUAUAAGUACAAUUUGGACAUGGCCCCAGAUCGUGAUCAGCUCCGUGCGAUGACACAAAAAGAGAAGGAAACGUUCAAGGAGUAUGCCCAGCGUUGGAGGGAAGUGGCUGCCCAGAUUGUCCCGCCGUUGGAAGAAAGGGAAAUGACCAAAAUAUUUCUGAAGACCCUGAGCCAGUUUUAUUACGAGAAAAUGGUUGCAAGUGCACCAACAGACUUCACUGAAAUGGUCAACAUGGGUGUGCGAUUAGAGGAAGGUGUCCGAGAGGGACGUUUGGCUGUGGAAAGUACCCCUGCCGCAAGUAAUGCCAAGAAGUUUGGAGGCCACUUUGCGAAGAAGAAAGAUCAAGAGGUGGGAAUGGUAGCUCAUGGUAAGCCUCAGCAGAAUUUCACCCCAUAUCGUCAGGUUGCGAAUGUCGCAUCCACUAUCCCAAACCCAUCAUAUCACCAACAAAGGCCACAUUACCCCUACCCGUACCCUCCACAACAAUACCCUCCACAACAAUACCCUCCACAACAAUACCCUCCACAACAAUACCAUCAGCCACAAUACCCUCAAAAACAACAAAAUCGCCCGCAGACCCCCCAACAACCAUAUCAUUCACAAAACCGUAUCAUUCACAAAACCGCCAGAAAACAACCUUUGAUCCAAUCCCGAUGAAAUAUGCUGACUUACUCCCCGCCCUGCUCGCCAAAAACCUUGUCCAGGUCAGAACACCCCCUCGUACACCAGAUGUUUUACCUCCCUGGUUUCGUCAUGAUUUAACCUGCGCUUUCCACCAAGGGGCCCCAGGUCAUGACGUUGAAAACUGCUAUGUCCUGAAGAAUGAAGUGCAAAAACUAGUCCGGGCCAACUUGCUAUCCUUCAAAGAUCAGAAUCCCAAUGUUCAGGCGAACCCUCUGCCGAACCAUGGGCCUGCUGUCAACAUGAUACAAGAUUGUGAUGAAGACGGUGUCAUCCUGAACGUCCAGCACGUCCGAACUCCCCUGGUCCCAAUACAUAUCAAGAUGUGCGAGGCAGCUCUGUUUGACCAUGAUCAUGCAGCGUGUGAAAUAUGUCCUGUGAAUGUAAAAGGAUGCCCGAAGGUACAAGAGGACAUACAAAGGCUGAUAGACAAUAGAGAACUAAUCAUCACGAGGAAGGACAAGGAAGUGUGCGUCAUCACCCCUGAGUUUCAGCGGUUGGAAAUAAGCUAUAACAGUGGGGAAUCAACUACUACUCCACUGGUGAUUAGCUUGCCAGGACCUAUGCCGUAUGCUUCUCUAAAAGCGGUCCCUUACAAGUAUAGUGCCACGAUGUUGGAAGGUGGGCAGGAGGUGCCUUUGCCCUCUCUAACUCCUGCGAUUUCUGUGGACAACAUUGCUAGUGACGGUAAAGUUCUAAGGAAUGGACGUGUUAUCCCCACAUUGUUUGCAAAGAAAGUGAAUGAUCCGGCAGUUAAACAGGCGACAGUGAAUGGCCCCGGUACAAGGAAGGAAGUAGGCCAAUCCAAUGGGACUAGCAAGAAUUCUGAUCAUGACGAGAUUCUGAAACUGAUCCAGAAGAGUGAGUAUAAAGUAGUAGACCAGUUGUUGCAAACUCCCUCUAAGAUAUCCAUUUUGUCUCUGCUAUUGAACUCAGAAGCACACCGUGAGGCUCUAAUGAAAGUGUUGGACCAAGCUUUUGUGGAGAGGGACGUGACUGUUAAUCAAUUGGACAGUAUAGUAGGAAACAUUACUGCCUGCAAUAAUUUAAGUUUUAGUGAUGAAGAGCUUCCUGAGGAGGGGAGGAACCACAAUCUGGCGUUACAUAUAUCGGUGAACUGCAAGUCUGAUGCUUUGUCGAAUGUACUUGUGGACACUGGUUCCUCAUUGAAUGUAAUGGCCAAAUCCACAUUAGACCAACUUUCCUACCGGGGGCCUCCCAUGAGAAGAAGCGGGGUGGUUGUCAAAGCGUUUGAUGGAUCAAGAAAGUCUGUUAUCGGGGAGGUUGAUUUGCCCGUUACAAUUGGGCCGUUUGUUUUCCAAAUUACAUUCCAGGUGAUGGAUAUCCAAGCCGCAUACAGUUGCCUUUUGGGUAGGCCAUGGAUCCAUGAAGCUGGGGCCGUGACAUCCACCUUGCAUCAAAAGCUGAAGUUUGUCAGAAAUGGGAAAUUGAUCACUGUGAGUGGAGAGGAAGCCUUGUUGGUUAGUCAUUUGUCAGCUUUUUCCUUUAUUGGUGCUGAUGAAACAGAAGGAACCUCUUUCCAAGGCCUGACUUUAGAGGGUAAAAAGCCAGAGAAAAAUGAAGUAUCUUUUGCUACUUGGAAGAGCGCACAGAAAGUGGUGCAGGAAGGAACAGGUGUAGGAUGGGGAAAAGUUGUGCAGUUGCUGGAGAGUAAAAACCGUGAAGGACUGGGAUUUGCUUCUUCUGCAGGAUCCGCAACGAACAGUGUUGGAUCAAGCUCCAUUACUAGCACCUUUUGUAGCGCCGGGUUCAUCAACAACUCGCCAGAAGCCAAUGCUGUCUUGGAAGAUGCUCCUGAAGAGAUAGUGCUUGCAUUUGUCACACCUGGAAAACUUGUUCGCAACUGGGACGCGGUUGACAUCCCUUCAGUGGUUCAUGCAUCAAAGUAAUGUGUCUUUGUUUUUCUGUUUGUUUGUUUUUCAAAAAAGGAUCCUUUCGUCUUGCCCAGGACGAAAGCGCAAUUAUGUAGGGCUGUUUUGUUUCAAGCACUACUCUUAUUAAUGGAAAAUGUGGUUUAUCCCGAUAUCUAUGCUUAUUGCUCUUUCUGGAAAAUGGUAACACAAAAAACCCAAAAUAUUUUAUUUUUGUUUUCUGAUUUCAAUUAAUUAUAAAAAGUCCGCAUUGUUCACUCAUUUUCUAAAAUCAAUCAUCAAUCAUAUGCAGACUAGGCAUUUAUGAGCCCGUUGAACAUAAUAACCCUGCACCCUCUCCCAACUACGAAUCUCCUGUCUACGAGGCUGAAGAGGAGGAGGAUGAUGAAAUCCCGAAGGAACUUGCUCGGUUAUUGGAAUAUGAAAAGAAAACCAUUCGGCCUCAUGAGGAGGUAGUAGAGGUGAUUAACUUGGGAACCGAGGAAGAUAAGAAGGAAGUCAAGAUUGGGGCAUCGCUUGAGGCAACUGUCAAACGAAGGGUGAUUGAAUUACUCAAAGAAUACGUCGAUGUGUUCGCAUGGUCGUACCAAGAUAUGCCCGGCUUGGAUCCCCGUAUUGUGGAGCACCGUUUGCCUUUGAAGCCCGAAUGCCCACCGGUCAAACAGAAACUGAGAAGAACUCGCCCUGACAUGGCUCUCAAGAUCAAAGAGGAAGUACAGAAGCAGAUCGAUGCAGGUUUUCUUGUCACAUCAGAGUAUCCCCAAUGGUUAGCCAACAUAGUGCCUGUUCCAAAGAGGGACGGCAAGGUCAGGAUGUGCGUUGACUACCGGGAUUUGAACAAGGCUAGUCCGAAAGAUGACUUUCCUCUACCUCACAUCGAUGUAUUGGUUGACAGCGCUGCAAAGUCCAAGGUCUUCUCCUUCAUGGACGGUUUCUCUGGGUACAAUCAGAUCAAGAUGGCAGUUGAAGAUAGAGAAAAGACAUCUUUCAUCACGCCUUGGGGCACCUUUUGUUACAGGGUAAUGCCUUUUGGGUUGAUAAAUGCAGGUGCCACUUACCAAAGAGGCAUGACCACUCUCUUUCAUGACAUGAUGCACAAAGAGAUAGAAGUGUACGUGGAUGAUAUGAUUGUCAAGUCAGGCACUGAAGAAGAACAUGUCGAGUACUUGCUGAAGAUGUUUCAACGGCUGAGAAAGUACCAACUUCGACUGAAUCCCAACAAAUGUACCUUUGGUGUUAGAUCUGGAAAACUCUUAGGUUUCUUUGUCAGUCAGAAAGGUAUUGAAGUAGAUCCUGACAAGGUCAGGGCCAUUAGAGAAAUGCCGGUUCCACAAACAGAGAAACAAGUGAGAGGUUUUCUUGGGCGUCUAAAUUACAUUUCUCGUUUCAUCUCGCACAUGACAGCCACGUGCGGACCUAUAUUCAAGUUGCUUCGAAAAGAUCAAGGGGUUGUUUGGACCGAAGAUUGUCAAAAGGCUUUUGAUAGUAUCAAGAAUUAUCUGCUAGAACCUCCAAUUCUUAUACCUCCAAUUGAAGGAAGGCCUCUGAUUAUGUACUUGACUGUGUUAGAAGAUUCUAUGGGCUGUGUGCUCGGACAACAGGAUGAGACCGGAAGGAAAGAACAUGCCAUCUACUACUUGAGCAAGAAGUUUACAGAUUGUGAGUCCAGGUACUCCCUACUUGAGAAAACUUGUUGUGCACUAGCCUGGGCUGCCAAGCGUCUUCGUCACUACAUGAUUAACCACACCACCUGGCUAAUAUCCAAAAUGGACCCGAUCAAGUAUAUCUUUGAGAAACCCGCUCUGACAGGAAGAAUUGCUCGUUGGCAGAUGUUGUUAUCCGAGUAUGAUAUCGAAUACCGCACCCGGAAAGCAAUUAAGGGAAGUGUUCUUGCUGAUCAUUUGGCUCACCAACCAAUUGAGGACUAUCAACCCAUCAAGUUUGACUUUCCUGAUGAAGAGAUUAUGCACUUGAAGAUGAAGGAUUGUGAUGAACCAUUGCUUGGAGAAGGUCCAGAUCCCGAGUCUAGAUGGGGUUUGAUUUUUGAUGGAGCCGUGAAUGUCUUUGGCAAUGGAAUUGGGGCAGUUAUUAUCACUCCUGAAGGUAAUCAUCUCCCUUUCGCUGCAAGGUUACAGUUCGAUUGCACCAACAAUAUGGCAGAAUAUGAAGCAUGUAUCUUGGGCAUUGAAAAAGCCAUUGACUUGAAAAUCAAGAACCUUGACAUUUACGGGGAUUCAGCUCUCGUAAUCAACCAAAUCAAAGGAGAAUGGGAAACUCGCCACCCCGGCUUGAUUCCAUACAAAGAUUAUGCGAAGCAUUUGCUAACCUUCUUCAACAAAGUGGAGCUUCACCACAUCCCUCGUGAUGAGAACCAGAUGGCAGAUGCGUUAGCAACUUUAUCCUCCAUGUACGAAGUGAGUCACCGGAACAAUUUGCCAACAAUCAGAAUUCAGCGCCUCGAGAGGCCCGCCCACGUGUUUGCAGUCGAAGAGGUUGUUGAUGAUAAGCCCUGGUUCCAUGAUAUCAAGUGUUUCCUUCAAAGCCAGGAAUAUCCACCCGAAGUAUCCAACAAAGACAGGAGAACUUUGAGAAGAUUGUCUGGUAAUUUCUUCCUAAAUGGGGAUGUUUUGUACAAAAGAAACUUUGACAUGGUACUACUCAGGUGUGUAGAUAAGCAAGAAGCAGAAUUUUUGAUGCAUGAGAUACAUGAAGGCUCCUUUGGUACUCACUCCAAUGGACAUGCAAUGGCUAGGAAGUUGUUGAGAGCAGGUUACUACUGGAUGUCGAUGGAAACAGAUUGUUGCAAGCAUGCCAGGAAGUGCCACAAAUGCCAGAUUUAUGCUGACAGAAUUCAUGUACCACCAACUACACUUAAUGUUCUUUCUUCUCCGUGGCCCUUCUCUAUGUGGGGCAUCGAUAUGAUUGGUAGAAUCGAACCGAAGGCUUCAAACGGGCAUCGUUUCAUUCUAGUGGCUAUUGAUUACUUCACCAAGUGGGUUGAAGCAGCAUCUUAUGCAAAUGUGACUAAGCAAGUUGUGGUCCGCUUUAUCAAGAAUCAGAUCAUCUGCCGUUAUGGUGUGCCCAACAGAAUCAUUACAGAUAAUGGAACGAACUUGAAUAACAAGAUGAUGAAAGAUUUGUGUGAAGAGUUCAAGAUUGAGCAUCACAAUUCCUCUCCUUACAGACCUCAGAUGAAUGGCGCAGUUGAAGCUGCAAACAAGAAUAUCAAGAAGAUAGUGCAGAAGAUGGUGGUCACAUACAAAGACUGGCAUGAGAUGCUACCGUAUGCUUUGCAUGGGUAUCGUACUUCAGUGCGUACUUCAACAGGGGCAACCCCCUUCUCUUUGGUGUAUGGUAUGGAAGCAGUACUCCCUGUGGAGGUUGAGAUUCCAUCGAUGAGAGUUCUAAUGGAGGCCCAGUUAUCAGAAGCUGAAUGGUGCCAAAGCAGAUAUGAUCAGUUGAAUCUAAUUGAAGAAAAACGCAUGAAAGCCUUGUGCCACGGACAACUUUAUCAACAGAGGAUGAAGCAGGCUUUCGACAAGAAGGUUCGUCCUCGUGUGUUUCAAGAAGGAGAUCUUGUUCUCAAGAAGGUUUUAUCUUUCCAACCCGACUCUAGGGGCAAGUGGACGCCUAAUUACGAAGGCCCAUAUGUCGUCAAGAGAACUUUCUCUGGUGGUGCACUGACUCUUACAACUAUGGAUGGGGAUGAGCUCCCUCGUCCCGUGAAUGCGGAUGCAGUCAAGAAAUACUUUGUCUAAAAAUAAAAGAACAGCUCGGUAAGUCGAAAACCCGAAAGGGCGGCUUAGGCAAAAAUGAGCGUCUCGGUGGGUCGAAAACCCGAAAGGGCGGCCCAGGCAAAAAUUAGAGACAUCAAACAAAAAAAUAAUUAGCCUGAUAGGUCGAAAACCCGAAAGGGCGAUCUAUGCAAAAGUUAAAGAUCAAAAGACAAAGUAACUGCAUCGAGAUGAUCUUUGUUCAUUUGGGGCACAAUGGAAUGUCAGGGAGACCCUGAAUCUGAAGCAUCCAAACAGUGGAAUUCAAGGUUGUCAGAGGGAACAACGGUUAUUGUGUUCAAUGAACCUUCAACUUAUAUUUACCAUUUUCCAAAACUUUGUAAGAUCAGUGGAGCCAUGCCAUUGGCAGGUCAUCACUCUUUCAAAUAAAUUUGAGCCUGUUGCCUUUCAUUUGGAAUUCUCAUUUAUUCAGCUUAUAAAACCUUUCCUUUUUUAUGGUAGCAUUUGAAACAAAAUAUUUCUCAAAAUCAUAAAUUUUCUUUCAUGUCUUUUUUGAGAAGCACAAACAACAAAACACUUUUUCUUUGAACUCGUGAAUAGAUGAAGGGUGUGUCAACAGCUACCAUGAGAAUGGGUAAACCUUGCAGGUUGCACGUGGUCAAUUGCUUUUGUUUUCUAAAAAAAAAAAAAAAAAAAAUAAAUAAUAAUAAUAAUAAUAAUAAGCAUGACCACAGAAGCACCAGCUCUUCUACCAUGUAUUUUGGGAUUGGCACGUUCUCCCAAGAAAUGUUUAUUCCCCAUCAGUUGCUGCAUACGCCGGGCUUUACCCCGUCACUAUUUUGAUACACCCUGGUGGCAUCAUCCCCAUUGAAGAUUGCCAAGUGUUUGUGAUGCGACGUCGGGUCACUUUCCAUCUUACCUGUCCAAUCUUGUUCCAUCAAAUCUAUCAUUCACACAAUCAUACAAGUCAAUCCUCCAUACAGUCAUACAAGUCGUGUCGUCAUUCAGGCAUUCAUACAUAUACACAUUCAUGCAUAUACAAUAAAGACAAUAUCAUGCGUACAUGGCUGCAUUAACCAUCAUGAGUCUUGCUUCAUUUAUCUUUUCAUUUCAAUCAAUCAUGAAUAAUUUGUAACCUUCUAUUUCCCCGAGUGUCAUCCCCAAUGGGUCUGAUCCAAAGGUGUCACCCUCUCUCCGCCAAGUGGCAAUUUCUUUAAUGAACAGCUUGUGCAUCAUUUGCCUCUGUUUCAUGUCAUCAGUUGGCUAGUUCGGCAAUAACCUGAACAGUUGACAUUCAUCUUUGUUUUUUGUCAAUUGACUAGUUCAGCAAUAACCUGAACAGUUGACAUUUAUCUUUGUCUUUUUGUCAGUUGACUAGUUCGGCAAUAACCUGAACAGUUGACAUCUAUCUUUGUUUCUUGUCAAUUGACUAGUUCGGCAAUAACCUGAACAGUUGACAUUUAUCUUUGUUUCUUAUCAGUUGGUUAGUUCAGCAAUAACCUGAACAGUUGACAUUUAUCUUCAAUUCUUGUCAGUUGAUCAGUUCAGCAAUAACCUGAACAGUUGACAUCUAUCUUUGUUUCUUAUCAGUUGAUUAGUUCGGCAAUAACCCGGACAGUUGAUAUGUAUCUUUGUUUUUGUCAGAUUGGCUAGUUCGGCAAUAACCCGAACAGUUGACAUUUAUCUUUGUUCCUUAUCAGUUGGCUAGUUUGGCAAUAACCCGAACAGCUGACAUUUACCCCCAGUAAAACCAUGUGAUCCCCAGUCGGACCCCUUUUCUUUAACAAAAUCGGGUACCAUUUGGUUUUGUUAUUCCCAGUCAAGCCAUUUACCUCGUCUUGCAUUCAUACUUGCAUCGCAAGCAUUCGCAACAUUACGUGCAUAACAGUGCAUUCAUAGCAUUUUGUAGUUGAAAUUGGUCAAAAAUGGUGUACUCUGUAUUUAAAUCUCUUCGACCCGUCGCUUUAAAAGUUUCACUUUUAAAUCUCCGUAACGAAGAGACUUAAAUAGGGGCAUCUGUCAUACCCCAUUUUUGACCCGUUUUUAUUUCUUUUUUCUUGUCUUUUAAGCCGGAAAUUUCCAUCAUUUCAGAUGAAAUUUCGGCAGGGAGGUAUUUUAAAAUACCUCAAUUUUGUUUUGAAGACGCCCCUUUUUAUUAUUAUUUAUUUAUUUACCUUUUUUUAUUAUUAUUAUUUUUAUUUUUUUAGUUAUUAUUUUCUUCUUUUCUUUUCCUUUUAUUAAGUGUUUUUUUUAUUUCCGUUUUUUUAUUAAUAUCUUUAUUAGUAUCUUCUUUUCGUUUUUUUUAUUUUUUUAUUAUUAUUAUUAUUUUUUUUUUUAUUUAUUUUUAUUUUAUUUUAUUUUGCUGUUUUAUUUUUUUUUUUUUUUUUCUUUCUUUCUUUCUUUCUUUUUCCUUUUCCUUUCCUUUUUCCUUUUUCUUUUCAGUUUUCUCGGUCCAGGCCCAGAGGGGCUCUUCGUUUUUUACCCUAAUUAUGUCCUUUAAAUGCUGCAUUAAUUACUGUGCAUGUCAGAGGGAGAGAGAGAGGGCAGAGGUGAAUACGAACAGUCAGAAUACCAACAGCCUAGCCACCACGAGCCACCACUCAACAGCCCCUUUCCUCCUCCGCGAACCACCACCAUCGGCCUAGCCACCACUCAACCGCCACUCUCCUCCUCCGCGAACCACCACCAUCGGCCUAGAGCCACCACUCAGAGCCACCACGAGCCACCACUCAGAGCCACCACUCAGCGCCACCCUCCCCCUCCGUGAACCACCAACACAAGAAAAAACCAAAAUCAUCUUGCUCAUACUAUUCAUUUCCUUCCCUAGAAAUCGAAACGUUAGAACAGAAACCCACGCGAACACAGUAACCCACUCACUCACGCGGCCUAAAGCCUACACCAACCACCACCAUCAGCCGACACCCACACCCACACAACCCAAACUGUAACCGUUUCCACUCUGAAGCUUAAACGAUAACAUAAGAACAAAGGUAGUUCACUUUUUUUUUUUCUAAGAUUCAAGGCUAGAUCUAGG